UUGUAUGAUGAAUAAAAUAUUCGCUGUGUUCUUACUGAAUACACAUUGACGAAAAAAAAUAUUUCACCUUGGAGAACUGACCC
rnacentral:snoRNA from 18 species